rnacentral:rRNA from 1 species
UGGGGAAUUUUGCACAAUGGGGGAAACCCUGAUGCAGCGACGCCGCGUGAGCGAAGAAGGUUUUCGAAUCGUAAAGCUCUGUCCUAUGAGAAGAUAAUGACGGUAUCAUAGGAGGAAGCCCCGGCUAAAUACGUGCCAGCAGCCGCGGUAAUACGUAUGGGGCGAGCGUUGUCCGGAAUUAUUGGGCGUAAAGGGUACGUAGGCGGUCUAUUAAGUCAGGUGUGAAAGCGUGAGGCUUAACCUCAUUAAGCACUUGAAACUGAUAGACUUGAGUGAAGGAGAGGAAAGUGGAAUUCCUAGUGUAGCGGUGAAAUGCGUAGAUAUUAGGAGGAAUACCGGUGGCGAAGGCGACUUGCUGGACUUUUACUGACGCUCAGGUACGAAAGCGUGGGGAGCAAACAGG